UACGUAGGUGGCAAGCGUUGUCCGGAUUUAUUGGGUUUAAAGGGUGCGUAGGCGGUUCUAUAAGUCAGUGGUGAAAUCCGGCAGCUUAACUGUCGAUGUGCCAUUGAUACUGCAGAACUUGAGUACAGACGAGGUAGGCGGAAUUGACGGUGUAGCGGUGAAAUGCGUAGAUAUCUGGAGGAACACCGGUGGCGAAGGCGGCAUCCUGGACCAAUUACUGACGCUGAGUGAGCGAAAGCCAGGGGAGCAAACGGG
rnacentral:rRNA from 1 species